rnacentral:lncRNA from 1 species
AUGGCAAGAGGGUGGAGGGAUUUUGGGGAAAGUAAAAAAAGGAAAAAAAAUGAACAUAAUAUUUGAUAACCACUCCAAUCCCUUAUUUCUCUCCAUCAAACUCACCACUAAAUCCACAACUCUGAUUUUUAGUCCAUCUAAAACUCUCCUGGAUGCACGAGCAAAAAUAAUGCCCAUGCCAAGAUUCGAACACAGGACCUCCUUCACACCAAC